GUAACAAUGCAAGAAGUGCUUUGAGACGCCCUUAAGAAAGAAUUCAAAGUGAAUUGCGACGUACACAAAGUCUGCGCUUUCAUCCAUUGGCUCCAUCACUUUAAGGAUGCAUUUGAUGUCGGAGGCUUUUUCGGGAAGAAGUCGUCCCCAUUUUCAAACAUUUCGAACGUUCGCAGAGAGUGUGGAGAAGAUAGUAUAAUGAUGUGUUUGGGUAUGUUAACUUUAUGUAAUGAUGAUCAUUAUUGAAAUAUUAGUAACGUUAUAAAGCAGUUAUUAAAAAGGGAAGUAUUUUGAGGGCGGUCCAACUCUGUGAUUUUAUUAUCUAUAACUGUAGUGUGAUGUUAAAUGCACCGAUGGACAUUAUUGGUAAUUACACAAAAUGAUUGUUAGCAUAAAAACUUACUUGGUAACGAGCA